UACAGAGGUGGCGAGCGUUGUCCGGAAUUAUUGGGCGUAAAGGGCUCGUAGGCGGUCUGUCGCGUCGAAAGUGAAAACUCAGGGCUUAACCCUGAGCCUGCUUCCGAUACGGGCAGACUAGAGGUAUGCAGGGGAGAACGGAAUUCCUGGUGUAGCGGUGAAAUGCGCAGAUAUCAGGAGGAACACCGGUGGCGAAGGCGGUUCUCUGGGCAUUACCUGACGCUGAGGAGCGAAAGCGUGGGGAGCGAACAGG
rnacentral:rRNA from 1 species